UGUAUCUAUAAAUUGAGGAGCAAAUCCAACACAAACUCUCAUCGUCUAAAUUUCGCUCAAAUGUAUCUAUAAAUUGAGGAACAAAUCCAGCACAAACUCUCAUCCUCUAAAUUUCAAUCUCCAGUAGUAUGGGUGGAAAAGUAAUUACAUUUCUUGAAUAUUUGCUAUUCUUAAUUCUCAUAAUGUUCCCUCAGGUAGCUGUUUCCAGGAAAUUAUCUGAACAAAUUUAUCCUUACUACCCAAAUGAUCCUUCGAAUAUGGGGAGCUGGAACCCUGGAAGAUGCUCUAUCACCUGCGGCCGCCCAUGCCAUACCCACUACUGCCGCCCAUGCUGCAACAAGCCUGACGUGGCCCGUCCUUGAGAAUUCAAGGCUGAACAAGAAAAGUUGGCAAUGUUUGAAUGACAAUUAUUAAAUAAUUUUCAAACAUUUUAUUCACACGUUAGUAAAUGUACUGAUGAUUAUUUCAGUAUGUCAUAUAUAUUUUGCUUCGAGCUAUUGAAAAGUUUAUGAGAGCACAUUUGAUUAUCAUGACAAA